UACAGAGGUCUCAAGCGUUGUUCGGAUUCAUUGGGCGUAAAGGGUGCGUAGGCGGCGCGGUAAGUCGGGUGUGAAAUCUCGGAGCUUAACUCCGAAACUGCAUUCGAUACUGCCGUGCCUUGAGGACUGGAGAGGAGACUGGAAUUUACGGUGUAGCGGUGAAAUGCGUAGAUAUCGUAAGGAAGACCAGUGGCGAAGGCGGGUCUCUGGACAGUUCCUGACGCUGAGGAGCGAAAGUGUGGGGAGCGAAACAGG
rnacentral:rRNA from 1 species